AUAAAGCGAUGUAUUGCAAUUAGUUUCGACCUAAUCUUAGGUAAAUAUACCUUUAUU
rnacentral:tRNA from 1 species